UAAGCAUGUAGGAACAUUCUUGGGGAACGCCUGACAUUUGACAGCUAAGAUGGCAGGAUCCAGAGGGUGAGGUAUGGCGGCUCUUUGAGAACAAUCUAUCUCAGCCCCAUAGAAUUGGGAGGCUCAGACAAAGGAGUGAUCUAGGUAGAAAUCCCUCAACACCUAAACAAGGAGGAACAGGGGGGUGUUAUCUUAAUUGCAAAUCAUGAGUUAGUAAGUCUCUCCCCAAUAGAAGAUCCAAGACAGCUGCCAGCCACCUCCUGCAUUUGACCAUGGUGUUUUUAAAGAAGUGACAGGUUUAAGUAAAUAAACUUGGCUUUCAUUAAUCUGACUUGAGUCAUUUCCCACCCUAGUAUUGCCACACAUAUCAAAGUCGUUCUCGAUACCAGUUUCCUGGAAGUAUGUAGAAAAUAGUGUGCUCCUCCCUAGCAGGUCUAGAGAAGGUGGAGUCAACCUCAGUGGACUAUAUAGGAAGGGGUGCUAACCCGUUAGAUGGUCUUUCUCCUUGCUUUUCUCUCUUCUUCUUAUUCUUUGAGGCGCUGACAUUUUCUGAACCACCAGGUGCUGCCAUAGUUGGAGAUAUCCGUCAAAGAAGAGAAGGGACUGUAACUGAUUGUUCCCGUGGCGCUGUCUGUUCAGAUCCCACCAUGAAUGUCCUGCAGAUGUGCUCAGCGAUCUGCUCUUUUGUCAGCCUCCUCCUGCUCCUCAUUUCCCUUGGCUCAGACUACUGGGUGGUAAAUGGCACUGUGCAUGCGGGUCUGUGGAACUUUUGCGUCUCAAGUGUGUGCAGUCCAUUUGGAAUGGACGUGGCAGCUGGGGACCACGCCACUCGAGCAUUUAUGCUGCUAGGGAUGAUCGCUGGCGCUGUCUCUUUCUUUGGUAUUUGCGCCUCAUUCUUUAAAUCUCAAGUCGGCUCCAUGUCCCUGAUCAAGACUUCAGCUGACGUCAGUAUUGUUGCAGCUAUUUGUGCCAUGAUCGCCAUGUCCGUCUUCACAGGAUUAUCAUCUGGUUCACGUGGUUUUUAUGGAUGGUCUUUUGGCUUGGGAUGGGCCUCAUUUCCUCUCUUCCUGAUAACAGGUGUGCUGGCUUACCUAUCACGAACUCUAUCGCCAGAAUGAUUGUAAUGGAAAGGUGCUGAGGCCUUUUGAGAUGACACCCCAAGCUCUUCUAUUGGAACGGUGGACGCAUGGAGAGAAGCCACAGUAGAACUGAACUCUAUUUGGAAGAGACUGUAUCUCCAAGAGGCUCCUGAUUACGAAGGCAGCAAUUUAGAAUUUGGAACCACAGAGGUUGAUAGCCACAAUUUUACAGAAGUGAAUCUGCUCCUGGUUUUCCUUUUUUCUUCUUCUUGACCCUGUACAUGUGUACAGGAAUGGUGUGGUGGAUACACUCCCUGCAAUUGGUUCAGCACCUUGGAAAGCUCCUUUAAAGUUUUUAGUAAAACCAGGAAUGGAUUCCCUUCUCCUGCAUCUUUGGGCUCACCAGCCUGCUUCUGGUCCCAGACAGACCUGUUGUUCAGUCAAUGAAGCUACUCUUCUCUCCCCCCCCCCAUUUUUCCUUUGAGUGAGUUCUUCUGAGAAUCAAACUGCUCCCUGGUAAAUGAAUUUAUUUCUUUGCUCCCUUUUUCUUGUUCUUCUUCUUCUUAACCAAGUGUGCAUUCUAAGAAACGCCUCAAAAGCCACCAUCCACCCAUUUUCUGUUGUAUCAGAGCCUUGUACCAAUGACUGGGCAAAGGUCUUUGCGCUGUACCAGAACAGCUGCUUGAGAGCCAUUAUUUUAAGUGCAGGGUCCAUCAUGACAGCUGAUCACCUUGAUCCUUUUCAUAAUGGUUUUAUCUAACAUUUUUAAUAUCAUGUUAUUGAUUGUUCUUUCGUACUGAAUAAUUUACUGUGUUUAGCUUUUCAUAUUGCGCUUUUAAUUAUGUAAGCCACCUUGAGUCCUUUUUCUAAGGAGAAAGGCAGGAUAAAUGUAUUAUAAAUAAAAAAUAAAACAUGAAAAAAAUGUCA
rnacentral:lncRNA from 1 species